CCUCCGUUUGGUUCGGGGUUAAGAAAAAAGUAGCUAUUCCAGGGAUAGAGUUAAGUUCACGGUUAAAGUGGGGUUAAAGUUUUUUUGUGUUUGGUUGGGGGUUGGAGUUAGUCUAGAAUAAUGAAAAAUAGUGUUUGGUUGGAGUAGGUGGGAUAAAAGGAUAAUGAUUGAUAAAGAAGGAUAAUGAUUGGUUGGAGUAGGUGUGAUAAGAAAGAUAGUGGGUUAUUAUGAAUAGAAAAUAGUGUUUGGUUGGAGUUUGGUAGGGUUAGGUUGGGUUAGCUAACCCGGGAUAAUUUAUUUGAGGUGGGGUUAGCUAACCCCACCCAUUUUUUGGGGUGUUUGGGGAUAAUAUGGGGGUUAAGGGGUUAUUCCACCCCUUAACCCCCAAUCAAACAAGGGCAAAGGAAUUUUGAGGUCCUUGGAAUGUACCACCCACCUUAGAAGGUUGAGAGGAUACUACGGUGAAUUUCUUGAAAUUUUUGAAGCUUUACUUUUUCGCCGCGGCAAAACGAAGCCGAAUUAUGCUUUUUAUCAAUAACUCCAUCUAAACCUUUUCGUAACGUUAAACGGAGUUGUCCCACGCGUCGGGAAUACUCCCAAUUAGAUUUCUAUAAGGUCAAUUUGCCUUAGAAACACUCGGAGGCAAAAGCCCAAAAUUUGGUGCCCUAAUGCCACUAUUAGCAAACUCAUAGGUUUUGAUAUCUAAAACAAGCAAAAGAGAGUUUGUCUAGCCUCUAGGAGCUCAUCUAAGGCCAAUUAAGCCAUUUCUAGGGCAUCCAAGAUGAACCCUAGAAGUUCACCAUGAGAGGACCUUGAGCUUCCAUGGAUUUCUUGGAGUUCAAGCCACUAGAGGAGUUCUAAACAUAGGAGAAGCUCCAAAACCUAAGUUCUUUUGUAGAAAUCCAAACCAUAGUUGAGCUUUUGCAUAAACUCACCUUAGCCACAAGCUAUCCCAAGUCCUCCUUGUAGGAGAGCUUCUAGUGCCUUCAAAUCCACCAAGACCUCCUCUCCAAGCUUCUUUUUCACCUCUUCUUAGCUCUAGGGCUUGGUUUUAGAGAGAGAAAGAGAGAAAUGAGAGGGGAGAGGGUGAAGUGGCUGUGGGAGAGAAAGAGAAGGAUGUUUGGGGUGUUAACAUCUUGUAACAAUAGCCAAAAAGCCCUCCAAACAUUUGUAUUUGUAGCAUUUUUAUUUUGCUGUCAGACCCAAAGUGUACCGAUACACUGUAGCUGUCACCGGUAACAUGAUUACGCAGAGGCAAACCCGAGAGCAAUUCUCGCAGGUUUUUUCAAAGUGUACCGGUACACUGUAGCUAUCACCGAUAACACAGGCAAAAUUUUCUCAAAUCCGAGAGCUUUUCUUUCUCGGCCUGCAAUGUUGUACUGGUGACAACUUGAUGGUUUUACCGGUACACUUUGCUCCAGAAUGUAAUUUUGCGCUGUUUUCGAUUCUGUUUCGCGCCGUUCGAUGCUAAAACCUUUUUAACACCUCUUAAACUCAUUUUUAGCCCUUUUAACCUCGUUGGAAUGCUAAUUGAAACUUGUUCAUCUAUUUUUUUCGCAUUAUUCACUUUUAAAUCGCGCCGAGCAAUACUAAAACUUGCUCAACACUCUCGGGACUCGACUUUGAUCCUUCCAACAUUGUUAGCAUGUCAACUAGAGUUUGUCCAUCCAUUUCUCUCGGCACUUUAAUUCAUUUUGGCUAAAGUUCGAUACGUUACAUUCUCCACCCCUUAAAAUUAGUUUCGUCCGCGAAACUUUCUUAAUUUAAACUUAAACUCAUACCUUAAUUCAACUCAGUGAAGAGAUGAGGAUAAUGCUCCCGCAUUGCGCUCUCGAGCUCCCAAGUAGCUUCCCGGUCAUCGUGGUUACUCCAACGAAUUUUAACAUACGGAAUCUCACGGUUCCGUAGUUUUCUCACCUCUUGGUCGAUAAUGUACGCCGGGAACUCCUCGUAGGUCAUGUCCUCCUGAAUCUCGAACGGCUCAAAUGACAGGAUAUGCUCGGGGUCAUGAAUGUACUUGCGGAGAUUCGAUACAUGGAACACGUCGUGUACUCCCGCAAGCCUUGGUGGUAAUGCUAUUUUGUACGCCACCGCACCGACCCGCUCCAAUACUUCGAACGGUCCAAGGUACUGGGGACUUAGCUUUUCACGGAGUCCAAACCGUCUAAUUCCUCGCAUCGGCGAUACUUUUAGAAAGACGUGGUCGCCAACUGCAAACUCUAUGUCUUUUCUCCGUUUGUCGGCAUAACUCUUUUGCCGAGAUUGCGCCGUAGUAAGUCUUUGGCGGGCAAGACAAACUUUCUGGGUGCUCCUUUUGAGUGUCCACCAUUGUCGCCAAAUAGGCCACACACCCGCCUUUAAUCAUUUUCCUCACCCUCGCCGCCAAUACGGUCGUCGUGAAGCGCCUACUUUUACACGCCCGAUAUACUAACUCUUCUUGAUUAGGCUCACGGAACGUGAUCAUCUUGCUUUCACAAUCUAUUACGUCAUAAUACUUGGAGAGCCAAUUGAUCCCAAGAUUACGUCAAAGCCCCACAGUUGGUUUAAUACCAAUAUGUCGAUCGGCAUGAUCCAAUCGCCUAUCUGAACCGGACAAUCCAAACACUCGUCAUGUACAUAGAAUGAAUGUCCAGGUGUAUUCACCGUCCAAUAAUCUUCAUUAUGUGUGACCUCUAUAUCAUGAGCUAGUGCAAAGGAUGCCGAUAUGCAUGAAUGCGAUGCACCUAUGUUGAAUAAAGCUCUAGCUCUAGUGCCUCUGAUUAAGAUAAUACCUGCCACGACGUCGUCGGGAACUGGAAUCGGCUCCUUCACCUGAGUGGCAAAAGCCCGCCCACUCGGUGCUCUAGACGCCUCCAGCUGACGUGAUGAAGAUGAGCAUCCAGCUGACACAGCCGGUGGUAACCUCGCAAGCUGUCUCGGAGUAGAUGGAACUGACGCCGCUAUCGGUGCAGACGACCCCCAAUUCGGGCACUCCCGUGAUAUAUGCCCGGGCUGGCCGCACUUAAAGCACUUUCCCUCGUGCUGCAGGCAUACCGGCGGUCGAUGGUCACCGCCGCAAAUAGCACAACGGAGAGGCCCCCAACUCUUCGACUGCUGCCGGGGAUACCGAGAGGGUUUCUUUGCAUUCAGCCGACCCCCGAUGCCACCCGCCGCCCGCUUCUUGCUCUUGCCAUUGCCCUUUGCCUCGGCUGCGGACUCACGCUCCUGACGCUCGUGGGCAUAGCCAUGCUCCGCCCACAAGGCUCGAUCAAAGACCUCCACAAAAGCCGUUAGCUUGAGGAUUUGCACGGCCCUAUGAAUCCCCGGCCGAAGUCAUCGCAAGAACCAAUCAGCCCGGUCCCGAUCAUGAUGAACAACCUUCGGGACAAUCGAUAAGGUGGGAGAACUCCUGCUCAUAGUCCGCCACGGAGCGUUCCCCUUGCCUCAACUUGCGGAAUUUUUCUUGCAACUUCUGCUUCAUCGUGUCGGGGAAGUAAUUGGCGAACACCGCCCUCCGGAACUCCUCCCACAACAUAGGCGGAAGAUCGGGUGAUUGAUCCCGCCUAACACGCUUCCACUACACUUUCGCCGCCUUCUCAAGGCAAUGUGUGGAGAGAUACACCUUGUCCUUCUCCGAGAUAUGCAAGUCCUCGAAGAGCGUCUCUAUGGAGUCAAUCCAUGACUCCACCGCCGCCGGUUCCACCACUCUCCUUUCGAAUAUAGGUGGGUUGAACUUGUUGAACUGAAUGAGAGCCGCCAACGCGCGCUCUCGCUCCGCCUCUUCCGCCGCACUAUCGGGGUUUGAGGUCCCCGAUCCUGCCAGCACCAUCGUAACUAGCACGGCCGCCGCGGCCACACCCUCGGCCGUACUCGGCACCACUGCAGGAGGCACAGGGUGCACGGCCUCCACGGGCGCCGCCGCUACCGCCUGCUGCCGCUCCAAGGCCUCCUGGAGCCUUUGGGUUUGCUCCCCUUGGCGCUGAACGGAUUCCGCCUGCUGCCACACUACUCCAAUAAGCGUGGCCAUCUGCUCCUGAAGCUCCCCAUCGCCACCUUCUCCGGGUUGCAAGGGAGCCGCACUUGGCUCCUCGGCCAUAGACCUUGUCCGCGGUCGACCACGAGGCAACUUAGGUCCUCCACGAGGCGGCAUUGCUUCCUGAAACGAAGCAAUUCACGUUAGUUACUUAGACAAUAUACUCGAUUAUACCCAAUCCGGCGAAAGCAUACAAGUGCAUUUAUUUUCCUUCCAAAGCAUCAUGUCGUCGGCUGCCGAUCACAACACAAGAAAAAGAAAAGAAAUAACAACUUAAAUUUAGCCCCUAACCACAUUAGAGACAUAUUAACAUUAACCCAAUCAAAAGCUUUCGCUAUAGUUUUGAUUUCACGUCGUUCACGUUUCCUAGAUCCUUAAGGUUUUCCAUUCCUAAGCGUCUCUAGGUCCAUCCUAUACUUUCACCUUUUGGCUCUUUACGCUCUGAUACCAUUAUAUCUGCCACGCCCCGAGCACGAUCCUUUUGGUCGAUUUGAGAGCGUUAAACAGACGCCGAAUGGACAGAGCCUCCCUUGUCCGGCCAAGGCUCAACAUAGGUACAGAUAGAGUAUAAAGCUUGCAUAAGCGGAAGCAUACACAAUAGCUUGCACGAGGGCAAGCAAUAGCCAAAGCGAAAGUACUAACUAUCAACAUACAAGUAACAUGAUUAAUUUAAAUCACAUACAUGCAUCCAAUUUUAAUCAAGUUCUUUCACAUUCUUGCAUCUUUUUUUUUUCUCUUUUACAUCUCAUAUUCCUCAAAAUAUAACCAUUUGCAUUUAAAAUAAAUAUCCUUUACAUCAUUCAUUUAAACAUGUUCAUGAUACUAAAAUCAUUAAAUACAAAAGAUGAUAGUAAAGGGAAUGCAACUACAAAAUAUAAAACCAUCUCGGGCGGUCUCUAACUAGGGCACGAUGCCCUUACCGCGAUCAUCCGCCGGCUCGCUCGGUCCGGGCUCUGUGAAAAAUAGGGUGUGAGAACUAUAAUAAAGUUCCCAGUGGGUUCGGCAACCAACCACACCGACAUUCCCACUAGGUCUAAAUCAGGAAUAAUAGAAGAAAAUAGAUAUAGAUAGUAACCAAACUAUACAAAUACAGCUAAUAUGUCUGAACAAUAAUAAAUGUGAUGCUCAAUAGUAUGCUCAUGUUGAAUGCAAGGUCACAAUCUCAUUAUCCAAUCUCUUGGCUAACCCGUAGGUUUCGCCCUUAACGACUUACCAAACAAAUACCUAAUAUCGGGAAGAUACCCGCUACAACCCGACGGGAUCGUCCUCUGGGGAGAUACUCGCUACGACCCAGUGAUGACAACUCCGGAGCACAUCGCCCAAGGGGGAGCUACCACCCUCGAGCAAGGACUUACAGGUGAGUAUGAUGCCAUCCUUAACUAUAAGGAUGUCAAGUCCAAUCCAUUCCUUGACUACAAGGAAACAAUGCACAUAUGACCCUUAACUCUAAGGUUGUUAUGUCAUAAUGUCGCUACCUCUAUUUAUUUGCAUUCUUUAAUCUUUUUCUAGUGUCAUAUACACUACUUUGUUCUUAUACUCAAUCAUUGAUUGCACACUUGUUUUCUAAGUGUCCACUCUAGCAUAUUUUGACUCAUCGAUGCCACUUUCUACAAUUAUGUCGACAUGUCACUUUUAUUCUCUAAAGCUACUAAGUUCUUGUCAUUUCUCAUACAUACAUAGGGUAAAUAAAUUUCUCACAUUCUUACAAAUAUUUCACAUACAUUUAAACUCACAACAUGCAAAUAGAAGCUUACAAUUACCCUACUAUGCAAUAUGCUCAAUAUACAUACAUAUGCUCAAAUGUGACACUUUAGACAUAAAAGGAAUUUCGAGGUCCUUGGAAUGCAUUAUCCACCUUAGAAGGCUGAGAGGAUGCUACGGUGAAUUUUUUAGAAUUUUUGAAGCUUUACUUUUUCGCCUGUGGCAAAACGAAACCGAAUUAGGCUUUUUAUCAAUAACUCCAUCUAAACCUUUUCGUAACGUUAAACAGAGUUCUCCCACGCGUCGGGAAUACCCCUAAUUAGGUUUCUACAUGGUCAAUUUGUCUUAGAAACACUCAGAGGCAAAAGUCCAAAAUUUAGUGCCCUAAUGCCACUAUUAGCAAACUCAUAGGUUUUGAUCUCUAAAACAAGCAAAAGAGAGCUUAUCUAGCCUCUAGGAGCUCAUCAAAGGCCAACUAAGCCAUUUCUAGGCCAUCCAAAAUGAACCCUAGAAGUUCACCAUGAGUGGACCUUGAGCUUCCAUGGAUUUCAUAGAGUUCAAGCCUCUAGAGGAGUUCUAAACAUAGGAGAAGCUCCAAAACCUAAGUUCUUUGGUAGAAAUCCAAACUAUAGUUGAGCUUUUGCAUAAACUCACCUUAGCCACAAGCUAUCCCCACGUCCUCCUUGUAGGAGAGCUUCUAGUGCCUUCAAAUCCACCAAGACUUCAUCUCCAAGCUUCUUCUCCACCUCUUCUUAGCUCUAGGGCUCAGUUCUAGAGAGAGAAAGAGAGAAAUGAGAGGGGAGAGGGUGAAGUUGCUGUGGGAAAGUAAGAAAAUGGUGUUUGGGGUGUUAACAUGUUGUAACAAUAGCCAAAAAGCCCGCCAAACACUUGUAUUUGUAGCAAUUUUCAUUUUGCUAUCAGACCCAAAGUGUACCGGUACACUGUAGCUGUCAUUGGUAACACGAUUACGCAGAGGCAAACCCGAGAGCAAUUCUCGCAGGUUUUUCCAAAGUGUACCGGUACACUAUAGCUGUCACCGGUAACACAGGCAAAAUUUUCUCAAAUCCGAGAGCUUUUCCUUCUCGGCCUGUAAUGCUGUACCGGUGACAACUCGAUGGUUGUACCGGUACACUUUGCUCCAGAAUGCAAUUUUGCACCGUUUUCGAUUCUGUUUCGCGCCGUUCGAUGCUAAAACCUUUCUAACACCUAUUAAACUUAUUUUGAGCCCUUCCAACCUUGUUGGAAUGCUAAUUGGAACUUGUUCAUCUAUUUCUUUCCAAUUAUUCACUUUUAAAUCGCGCCGAGCAAUGCUAAAACUUGCUUAACACUCUCGGGACUCGACUUUGACCCUUCCAACAUUGUUUGCAUGUCAACUGGAGUUUGUCCAUCCAUUUCUCUCAGCACUUUAAUCCAUUUUCGCUAAAGUUCGAUACGUUACAUCGGGAUACCGUUAUCUCUGGUCACAAUGGUAGGGCGCUAUCUACGGAGCUACGCCCUUUUCUCACGCCACCGCGCCGCUCGCGUGUGAACCUAAAAUCCCCCAAAACAACGUGGGGUGAGAACUAUAUCCAUAGUUUCCAAUGGGUACGGCCACCCAAGGGAGAAGCUCAACCCACUAGGUCUAAAGGAGGCACUGCAAUCAUGUUAGUCCAACAUAUAUCCACAAAUAUUUAUGCAAGCAAUAAAUAAAUGCGUAUACCUCAAGACAUGCAAUAUGCAAUUGUUUGCAGUAAAAUAAUACUUAUAUAGAUGAAACAAUUCUAAUCAUAAUAAAAAAAUAAUCAGAUUCGAGUUCAUACAGUCCUAAUAGUUCUCGUGUUAACCAUUAAAUUUUUGGGCCAAUAAUUAUAGUUCAAAUAUAUAAUAGGCCCGUUCAUAAAUGUGAGUUGGUAGGCCUCAUGAAAGCCCAUACAAAUAAAAGAAAAGGGGGGGGCGUCAUUCCAGCACAUUAAAUAUUAUCAUUUGGGCCCAAUAAAUUAAAGCGGGCCUGAUCAACGAUAGCCCACAUCCACAUCAUAUAAAAUAUCUGUUCGAAAUUCAAAUUCAAAUCACAACCCAUUCAAAAUUCAAUUUUUGAAUUUCGAAUUUCGAAUUCCCAACAAUUCCCAAAAUAUCAUCCAACAACCCAUUCGAAAUUUGAUUUCGAAUUUCGAAUUCCCAACCAAUUCCCAAAACAUCAUCCAACAACCCAUUCGAAAUUCGAUUUCGAAUUUCGAAUUCCCAACUAAUUUCCAAAACAUCCUCCAACAACCCAUUCAAAAUUUGAUUUCAAAUUUCGAAUUAAUCCUCAAAAUACCCUCCAACCAACCAACAACCCAGUCAAAAUUCGAUUUCGAAUUUUGAAUUCCCUAACCAAUUCCCAAAAUAUCAUCCAACAACCCAUUCGAAAUUCGAUUUCGAAUUUCGAAUUCACAACCAAUUUCCAAAACAUCCUCCAACAACCCAUUCAAAAUUUGAUUUCAAAUUUCGAAUCAAUCCUCAAAAUACCCACCAACCAUCCAACAACUCAUUCAAAAUUCGAUUUCGAAUUUUGAAUUUCCAACCAAUCCCAAAUAUCUUUCAACCAAUCACAACAACCUAUUCAAAAUUUAAUUUUGAAUUUCGAAUUCCUCAAAAUAUCUCUUACCACCCCUCCCAUUAUAAAUACGAGAAUCGAGAUCAAUAUGGGGGACGAUACGAUUUUACGGAGAAAAAAAAAAGAUAGAUUGCUACACACAUUCCCACGUACAAAAUAUUCAAAGAAGGAGAGAUCGCCGAGCCGCGGAAAGGAGGAGAGAUCACUUGAGCCGCGGAAAGGAGGAGAGAUCACCGAGCCUGUAACACACUGGACCUUUGCAAAUUGCGGGGUUCGAGUGUUUGGACAGUGUCCCGAGUUUUUCCAGACUUUCUGGUGGGUCGUUGACAGUGUUCCGACCUAUGGCUCGCAUCCCGAGAAUUGUAGUAUUUUAUGUAGCGCUAAGGUCACUAAAAAGUUGGACUUAGCCUACCCUCGGAUUGCUUUCAGCACAAAGUGUACCGGUACACUUGUGAUGGCUGUACCGGUACACACUUUGUACCGGUACGCGCUUGAUGGUUGUACCGGUACACUUGUGGCAGAUUACAAACCCGAGCCUCGGGUUUGCGUUUUCGUAGGAUGUGUACCGGUACACUUCCCCGUGUACCGGUACACUUUGGCAGAAUCUGAGCAGUUUGAACUGCAGGGGGUUUUUCGCAAUUGUGGACUUCUAUAUGUAUCCCCCACGCCCCUAGGGCUUCUCCUGAGCUUGGAGCAGCAGGAGAGAAGGUAGGGGAGCCCUCCUCUUCACCUCUUUCAUUUCUUUGGUUUUUGUUUGGAUUUUUAAGAGAUUAAACCCCUCUUUUGCCUCUUUUGUUUGAUUUGAGGCUUUUCCCCCUUUGAGGCUUGGUUUUGGGGCAAGAUUGAGGGAAGAUCCUUGGACUUGGAGAGUUUAAAGCUUGGAUUGAAGCUUCUAAGAGGUAAUCUACUUGCUCUCUCCCCCUAGAUAUGAAUUUUAUUGAUGAAUUCAAGAUCAAACCCUAGAAAUGAAAAUUUAGGGUUUAUUUGGGCAUUUUGCAUCUAGGGCCUUUGGAGCUAGAUUGAUUGGAUUAGAACCUUCCUUGGGCUUGGAUUGGAAGGAUUCUAGCUCUCUUUUGGAGCUUGAGAGAGAUUUUCCACUCACUAGGUGAGUUUUAGCCCUUUUGCUAAAAUUGUUAAAGUUUGAUCUUAUGAAUGAUCGUAAUGCCCGUGUAUCUUGUCGCUCAUUACUUUUAGGGUAAUUUGAGACUCGGGGACAACUUUGUUCGGCGAAUCGAGACCCUACGCGACGGUUCGGUGGGUUUGACCUAGCCUACAUAUGAGAAAUUCUCAUAUAUGGUUAUUUACGUUCCGUAAAUUGAAAAAGCAUGCAUGUUCAUAUCAAAUGUAUUUAUUAUGAUUUUUAGAAUGCUUGAAAUGCAUAUGUUAUAUAUGAUGAAAUUUUGGACCUCUAUGUAGUAGAGAGUUGCUUGGGAGAUCUUUGGUUGCAUUUGGCAUUCUCUAUGAGACUUGGUUUCAUGCUUCUAUAGUAUAAUGAGUUCGGAUUCAUGCAUUUAAACUUGAGGCUACUUGUGACAUGAAAGAUGACAAGAUUGCCAUUUAGGAGGUAAGUGAACUAGAGAGCUAAUGUCAUAAAGCGGUAUUGAGCUCGGGACAUGUGAGAACUUAGUGGAUAGGGCCAUUAAGGGAUUUGGAAUACAUAUCGAACAUCAAAUUGCCUAAGUGUCAUCAAGGGGCACUAGGCGUAGCAAAUGCUAAAACUUCACAUUGUGACUUAGACUAGAUCUUCGGGAUGCUAGCUAUGAUACCAUGUUAGAGACAUGAGGAUUGGAUAUUUGAGACUUGGACUACGCUUGCUUGCCAUUUGUGCUUAUUCGCACAUGCUUGUGAGGGUCGCUCCCUACAAGCCGGCACUCCGGAGUUAGCCUACGCGACUACGUUCGCUCGUGCGGUAUUGAGAAGCCUACGGGGCCGAGUGGGACAGACACAUUCCAAGAGUAGGGAUGUCGGGCUACCACAGGCACUUAGGCGGCACAAGCUGGACUACCUUCGGUAGGUCCUUAAUUGGAAAUGGAAAUCGACACGGUGUUGAAUAUGAACAAUCACUACUAGAUAGGAUUAGUAGUUGGAUUACUUGGACACGCUUAUGAUAUAGCAUUGGUACAUUUUGUAUACUUGCCGGUUUCAUUAUUGCAUCGUAGCAUACUCGGUUGUUUGGAUAAAGUUUACCCUUAUGCAUUGAUAUAUGGCAUCGUGAGGUUUACUUGCUUUUUAUGUUGAGACAUAUUAGUAUGCAUCGGAUAUAUAUCACCUUAUGAUAGCGUAGAUGUACAUUACCAUAAUAUCAUACUUAUUGGAGACAUAGUAGCAUAGCAUUUCAUUCAUGCUUCCUUCAGCAGUUUCGUGUUCGCUAUUUAUUGCUAUUAUUAUUGUACUUACCCUCUUCUUUUGGGGCCUAGUGGUGCAUUGAGCUGAGGUCAGUAAUUGCCCACUGGGAACUAUAAAUUAUAGUUCUCAUGCCCUCUUUUUCUCGAUGUUUUACAGAGCCUUCCACUCAGGGUGAGGCCAGGGAUCGCGGGAAGGGAGUUGCUUCGAGCUAGCUUCCUUCGAGGACGAGUUGCCAGGUGGUCUACCUCUCGAUUUUUGUUUCCUUUUGCGAGAGGUUGAGAGUUCUACCAGUGUAUUAGAGACCACCGUUUUUGUACUUUUGAGACAGAUAUUGUACUUCUUAUGACUUCUUUUAUUGUCUAGCUUUACUUCUUUACCUUGGUGUAGAUGUUAGAACUUUACUCGCUCUGAUAUCAUUAGCUGCUCAUUAUUUCACUCCUUCUAUUUGUUUUAUCUCUUGCUUUUACUUCCGCUUUUAUUGUAGACGCCUUAUAUGUGUAGACAUAUGGCGGGUCUGGGCACGCCACCGGGAGGGCCUCCGCCGGUCCCGGGGCGUGACAGAGCCGCAGAAAGAAGGAGAGAUCAGUCGAGCCGCUGAAAGGAGGAGAGAUCGCCGAGCCGCGGAAAAAAGGAGAGAUCGUUGAGCCGCAUCAUCCAAUCCAUCAACAGGUAGUAAAAAAGGAAAGAAAGAAAGAAAGAAAAUAAAACAAUAAUUGUAAUAUACCAGAUUUUGGUAUAAAAAUAAAAGUAAAUAAAAAUAGUGUGAGAUACUAUUUUUAUUUGGUUUUUGAGAAACAAAGUAUAAGUCUAUAAUGACUUGUGCUGAAAUCGGAAUGAAAACAGAAGAUUUAUAAUUUUCUGUUGAAAACGAGACAGAUAAAUUAGCAAAAAAUACAGAGUCUCAGAAAAUUAUGAAAAUUGGAGGAUAAGUCAGAAAUAUUUUUAUGAGGCUAGAUUUAAAGUUUCAUAUUUUUCUGACACCCGAAAAUUGAGAAAUAAAAUCCGAAAUCUAUCUGAUAAAGAUUAUAGUUCGGUACAGUUUUCGGUGACCAAACGGGGUCGAAACUGAAAACUUAAAGUAUAUUCUUGUUCGGUACGUUAAACUGAAUAUGACUGUCAAAUUUGAGCUCAAACGGAUACUCUGAGAGCUCCGGCGAAAGAUAUCAGAUUUUAAGUUGCCUGGAGUGAAUAGUGUUUUUGGAAGCUUCAUAGAAAACUUGGAGAGCAAGUUUUCUCUCUAUGUAUAUAUAGGACUUGGGCUUUCUUUCCUCUCAUUAUUCACACUCACAAGCAAAGAGAAAAAUCUCUCUCUACACCAAAGAGAUGAUUGGAGAAGAAAAGAAAGAAAAAUUGAAGCAAGCUUGGAGAAAAUUAGAGUAGCUUGAAGUUGAAGCUCUCUCUAAUGGUGGAAGCAAGCUUUCCAAUAGUGGAUUUAGCUUGAUGUGAAUGGUGGUCUAAGGUGAGAUCUCAUAAUUUAAGCUAGGAUUUGGUUUAAUCCUUAAUGCUUAGUGUUCCAAUAGCCUCUAAUGUGUUGAUUAGCAUGUUAAAUCCAUUUAAUUUGGGUUAAUUGGAGCAUGUGUAGAGGCUAGGUUUAUAAUGAUAGAUCUUAAGAGCUUUAAUUGUAUGCUCUAAGAAUGGAUUUAGAGGAAUCCUUAGAUGCUAAAUGGAUAACUAUUGCAUGAAUUAAGGGAUCAUAUGAUGAAUUCUUGCAAUAGUGUAUCUUAAGGCUCAAAAAUGAGAUUUUGUAAAAUAGUAGGGCUUGAUCUCAUUUGACCCUCCGUGAACCUAAUUGCUAGGUAAACGAACGCGUUGGCGAAGUCGGUUUGGCGAUUCGUCGAGCCGUUGCAAAGUUAUUAAAGAAACGGAUGUUUAGGCUUCGUUUCCGCCUGGAAGGCCGAGGCGACUUCCAAAAAUCAUGAGGUUGGAUCUGAAGCAUCGUGGUAGCAUGCCGAAGAGCUUCUGCACUUAAAACUGCGAAGCGGACGCUCUUGUAGCGCAACUGUAAGAUUGGGCCCUUAGCGGGUGCUGAGUGUCGCAGGUAGCGAACCGGGCGGCUAAAAAUCCCGAGAAAUUUAUCAUAGCACCUUAGAGGACCUACGAGGUGGGUGGUGCUUUCCAAACUCAUUGAAAUUCUCUCUAUGCCUAAUGUGUCAUUCUUUGAGCAUAUGUUCUAUAUAUUGUUGCAUGCAUUUUAGGGUAAAGUAAUGAUAAAAUGUGAUGAUUGCAUGAUUGUGAGCACAACUUGCAUAAUGAGAUGGUUGAGAACCUAAUAAUGUCAAAACCCUAGAUGUAUGCAUGAUAGAAAAUGUGAGCACCCAAAGUGAGCAAAAGAACAGAGUGACACUGUGACAUAGAUCGAGUGGCAUCUAAAUAAUGUAAAGUAAAGUGACACUAGAGUUAGUGUGAAGCAAAGAAUCGAAGUGAUAUAAAGAAUGAUGACGAUCACUAAAGCUAAAGCAAAGAGAGCAAUAAAGAACGUGUAAAGCUAAAGAAUGUGAUUGCUAGAGUUAGCAAAAAUAAAAGAAAUGCAAAGAGCAAUGAUUGCUAGAGUGGCAACAUAAAGUGAUGUAAAGAACACUAGAGCUAGUGUAAAGUCAAGAUUGAACUAUAAUCCUUUGAGUUAAGGAUAUGAUCAUACUUGCUGUUGAGUUCCGUGCUCGAGGGCGGUCGCUCCCCCUCGGGCGAUGCGCUCCGGAGUUAUGCAUCCGGGUUGGAGUAGACCCGUAAGGACGGUCCUAGCUGGUGAGUACCUGCGAUGAUGGACUUAACGUGAGGCAAGUUAAUGUGGCGAAACCCCCGGGUUAGCCUUGAGAUUAAAGAAUAAAGAAUAAAGAAUAAAGAGCAAAGAACAAAGAAUAAAGAACAAAGAGUAAAGUGAAAAGAACUAAAGAACAUGCAUAAUCUGCAUCUAUUAAUGUUGAGCAUAUUCCUUGCUUUUGUUCAGGCAUAUUAGCAUCAUGUUAUAGAUUGGUUACCAUAUUUCAGCUUAUCCUUUCUAUUAUGCCUGAGUUAGUCCUAGUGGGAAAGUCGGUGAUGUUGGGGCCGAACCCACUGGGAACUUUGUUGUAGUUCUCACCCCACUAUUCCACAGAGCCGGGACCGAGCGAGCCGGCGAGCGACCGCGGUAAAGGUAUCGCACCGUAGUCAGAGGCCACCGGAGUUGGGUUACAUUUUGUUAGUAGUUUACCCCUUUUAUCAUCUUUGUAUUUGAUGAUUUAAGAUGUUGAUAUAUAAAGCAAAGUAAAGAAAAGAAUGUAAUGUUCAUUUUGAGGUAAAUGUGAUGUAAAAGAAAUGAUGAAAGAAUGUAAAGAUUUUGGAUGUACAAGUUGGAUAGAUACAACGUAUGUGAUCAAAAUGAAUCAUAGUACUAGUUGAAUGUUUAGUUUUCCUUUCUUUCACUAAUGGCUAUUGCUUACCCUCGUGAAAGCCGUUUGUGCAUGUUUCCGCUAGUGCAUUUCAAUUCUCUUAAAAUUGUACACGUGAUGAGCCUUGGGCGGAUAGGGAAAACUCUGUCCGUUCGGCGUCUGUUCGACGUGCUCGGGCCGACCCAAAUUGGUAUCGGCUCCGGGGCGUGACAAUAAUAAAACACAAAAGAAAAUUCUCUUCUUCCCCCCUCCCUUUUUUUCUUUUUUGGUCCUGCUACCGUAGUCAUCCAUAUCGUCUUGAUGACUUCGAUGGGAGAGUGGAGGGGAGCCAAUGGCUUCCCGUUUCUUCGGACCUCUCAAUACCCCAUUCGAAAUUGUUGAGGAUGGAAUGGGUGAUCUACAUGGCCGCGACCACCCCAACAUCGAUGGUUUGAUACUUUCGAAAGAAGAGGGGAAGGGAAUUUUUGAUUCCCUGUUUCUUCGGACCCUUCAACAUUUUUUUGAAAAUAUCAAAUCAAAUUUGAUGGCCGAACAGAUCCACGUCACCGUCAUCAACUUCACCGACGACAUCUACAGCAUCGCCGGUUUGAUACUUUCGAAAGAAGAGCGGAGGGGAAUCUUUGAUUCCCCCUUUCUUCGGACCCUUCAACAUUUCUUCGAAAAUGUCAAAUCAAAUCCGACGGCCAAACAAAUCCGCACUACCGUCAUCAACUUCAUCGACAUCAUCUACAACACCGACGGUUUGAUGCUUUCGAAAGAAGAGGGGAGGGGAAUCUUUGAUUCCCUGUUUCUUCGGACCCGUCAACAUUUCUUCGAAAAUGUCAAAUCAAAUCCGAUGGCCGAAUAGAUCCACGCCACCGUCAUCAACUUCGUCGACGUCAUCUGUAGCCUCGCAAGAAAAGGGGAAGGGAAUCUUUGAUUCCCCGUUUCUUCGGACCCCAAAUCAAAAUUAAAACGGGGAUUUCUUCGGACCCCAAAUUGGAAUCAAAACGGGAAUUUCUUCGGACCCCAAAUCAGAACGAAACGGGGAUUUUUUCGGACCCCAAAUCAAAUUGAAAAAUCAAAUCCAAAUUAGAGAAUCAAACGGGAAUUUCUUCGGACCCCAAAUCAAAUCCAAUUGGAAUCAAAACGGAGAUUUUUUCGGACCCCAAAUCAGAACCAAACGGGGAUUUCUUCGGACCCCAAAUCAAAUUGGAAAAUCAAAUCCAAAUUAGAGAAUCAAACAGGGAUUUCUUCGGACCCCAAAUCAAAUCCAAUUGGAGAAUCAAAACGGCGAUUUCUUCGGACCCCAAAUCAGAACCAAACGGGGAUUUCAUCGGAUCCCAAAUCAAAUUGGAAAAUCAAAUCCAAAUUAGAGAAUCAAACGGGGAUUUCUUCGGACCCCAAAUCAAAUCCAAAUCAGAGAAUCAAACGGGGAUUUCUUCGGACCCCAAAUCAAAUCCAAAUCGAAAUCAAACGGGGAUUUCUUCGGACCCCAAAUCAAAUUGGAAAAUCUAUAAACAAUUGAAAAAUCAAAACGGAGAUUUAUUCAGACCCCAAACCCAAAUCGAGAUAAAAAGGGGAUUUCUUCGGACCCCAAAUCAAACCAAAAUCAAAGAGGGAUUUCUUCGGAUCCGAAUCAAGUUGCAAAAGAGGAUUGCCUCGAACCCGAAAUAGAAUUAAAAAGAAAAUCAAGUUCACAUAAGAAACCAAACCAAAUCCACAAAUAAACCCAAACCCAAUCCAAAUCAAGUUCACAUAAGAACCCAAACCAAAUCCACAAAUAAGCCCAAACCCAAUCCAAAUCAAGUCCACAUAAGAACCCAAACGAAAUCCACAAAUAAACCCAAACCCAAACCAAACCAAGUCCACAAAUAAACCCACAGAUAAACCCAAACUUGAACCCAAAUAAACCCAAACCCAAUCCAAAUCAAGUCCACAAAUAAACCCAAACUUGAACCCAAAUAAAAUCCGAACUCAAAUCCAAACCAAAUCAAAUCCAAACCUAAAACCAAAUACAGUCCACAAAUAAACCUAAACCAAAAACCCAAAUAAACCCAAACCCAAAACCUAAAUUAAAUCCGAACCCAAACCCGAAUCAAGUCCACAUCUAAACCUAACCCAAACCAAGUCCACAUAAAGAACCCAAACCCAACUCAAAUCAAGUCCACAAUCCAAAUCCAAACCCAAAACUGAAAUCCAACUUCUAACUUAGGCUCAUGAACCUAAACCAUACCUAAGUUUAUAAACCAAAUCCCAUAAGCCAAAACCAAGUUCAUGGAGCAAAUCCCAUGAACCAUAUACCAAACCUUAUGAACCAUGAACCAUAAACUAAAUCUCAUGGAUCAAAUCCCAUGAACCAUAUACCAAACCUUAUGAACCAUGAACCAUAAACUAAAUCUCAUGGAUCAAAUCCCAUGAACCAUAUACCAAACCUUAUGAACCAUGAACCAUAAACCAUGAACCAAGUCCAUGAACCAUAUCCAAGUUCAUGAACCAAAUCCCAUACACCAAACCUCAUGAACCAUAAACCACAACCCAAGCCCAUGGACCAAAUCCUAUAGCUUAUUCAAGUUCGUGAACCAAACACCACGAACCAUACCCAAGUCCCAUAAACCAUGAAUCAAGUUCGUGAACCAAACACCACGAACCAUACCCAAAUUCAUGAACCAUAAACCAAACCCUAUGAACCAUACACCAAAUUCAUGAACCAUGAACCAAAUCCAUAAACCAAGUCCACAAACCUCAUAAACUAAGUUUAUGAACCAUGAACCAUGAACCAUGAACCAUGAACUAAGUCUAUAAACCUCAUCCAUGAACUAUAUCCAAGUUUAUGAACCAUACACCAUAAACCAUAAACCAAGACCAUAUACCCAACCUUAUGAACCAUAAACCAUAUCCAAGUUCAUGAACCGAGUCUCAUGAACCAUACCCCAUGAACCAUACACCAAUUCUAUACAUGAACCAAAUAAAUCAAAACCCAUAUACCAAGUUCAUGAAUCAUAAACCAAGUUCAUGAACCAAAUCUCAUGAAUUAUACACCAAAUCCCAUAUACCAAAUCUUGAAUCUUUUCUUUACUCUAGCUCAUAUACCUAGAGUGAAAAUUAAAUAUCGACUACCCCUAAUACAUAUACUUAGGGCUAAGUUAAUUGCCUUAGCACAUAUACUAAGGCAAAACAUUUCCAAAUCGACAUAGUUCUAAAUUAUAUCCUUAGAAUUCAAUCAAAUGAUAUCAAGUUCAUGCGAACUCUAACACAUAUACUUAGAGUUUAUCUGACUAACCCUAACACAUAUCUUUAGGGUCUAGUCAGACUUUUGCUCUAGCACAUAUACCUAGAGUGGAAGUCAAACCAAGCUCGACUAGUCCUAACUCAUAUACUUAGGGUCUAGUCAGUCUUUUGCUCUAGCACAUCUACCUAGAGUGAAAUCCAUACCCGAUCGAGCUCUAAUACAUAUACUUAGAGCUCAAAUCCGACGGAGCCUAACAUAAUACCUUAGGGCUUAGUCAGAUCCUCACUUUAGCACAUAUAACUAGAGUGAAAAAUAUAUUAAACUCGGUUAAUCCUGAUACAUAUACUCAGGAAUUAACCACCCUCUGCUUUCGGGUAAUUCGACCCACCUCAAUACAUAUACAUGAGGUCGGGUCACAUCUCCACUUUGGAAUAUACAACCAAGGUAAAUAUAAUUGGACUCUAAGACAUAUGCUUAGAGCCAAUUAGACUCUAAUACAUAGAGUUUAAUAUCAACUAGGUCUUAAUACAUAUACUUAAGACCUAGUCAAUCUCAAAUCGAACUGAAUUCUAAUACAUAUACUUAGGAUUCAAUAAACCAAGACACGAUUCAUUUCAUCCUCUCUACAAAAGUCUCUUAAUCGAAGGUAUCCCAAUGCCACGGGGGUAAUUAACAAUAGAUGCUUGCAUCUAUUGGAAGCCAUAGACCCGUGAUACCUGAUACCCACAUACAUAUAAAUACUCAUCUGAAUCAUGAAUACUACCCCACGGCCGAAAUCCAUCGACCGUGCGAGGUGCGUCAUUCGUGGUGGCAGACAAAAUGGCACGCCCGGUGGGACAUGGCUUCUCCUUCCAUCUUCGAGACCUUAAAAGAAAAUAAUAAUAAUAAUAAAAAUAGGGUUGUGUAAAUAAUUUCUAACUUCUACCUCUUUGCAACAGGAAAUGGCACCAACAUCCAAGAACGUAGUCGCUGCGUCAACAAACUCAAUGAUAUUGGAGUCGGGUUCGCGAGUCUGCUUGCCCACGUCCAUCCUGACAUUCGGAACGACAGGUGCCUCAAUCCAAUUCGGCACCAUUCCUGAAGAUGUUCGAGCUGCUGUCAUGGCUCAAAUUCCUGCUAUUCCUGGGGGCAUGACCAUUCCAGCCGCCCCUUCUCAUGAUGAAUCCAAUAUGGUCAUUCCUCGACUGUCAUUUCGAGGAAGACGACCUAAUGUGGUCAUCCCCAAUCCUCAUCGCCGACCUAUGGGCGAACGUCUCACUUACCAAUCUGCAUCCAAGGGGAUGGAGUCUGAGGGAAGACUGAUAUUCCCAAAUGCCAAAGUACAGAAAGCAUCGGUAUUCUAUAGGCUGGCGCUUUCUAAUGAUAACACAGUCACCAUUCCUUCCACAAGAGCGUCCUUUAAGAGGAAUAGCCGCCGCCAACUAAACAGAGGAAAGUUUACUGGGGGCAAGGAUAAUAGAGUUCAGGAGCCCCAAAUGAGCCAGUCAGCAUUUGCGAGUCACAACUUUUUCGCUCCAUUAGAGCUUGUGAAAAAGAAUGCGAUGACCGCUAUCUUACGGCCAAUGAAUCGGCCAGAAGCUUUAAGGAGAAACCAAGGGACUAUCAAAAGACAUGAAGAGGAAAAUAUUUCUAAAAGAAUUUACGAGGCUUAUAAAGUUGUUUAGGGGCGAAUGGGAAGAGUGAGAGCUCAGAAACAAUCGUUACCUCAUCGUAACAAAGUGUGGAUAUGAAAAGAAUCUGUACCAAUAACUAAGGACUCACAUGAAAGGAGAGAAGAUAUGGUGGUCCAUACCGUUCGAAUGGUUGGACAUCAAGAGCCCGAUCAAUCGGAGGAGCAAGAGACGCUAAAUCAGAUGCUUACUAGAGCUGCCGCUCGCAGGAAGGCGAUAGUGAGACAAAAUGACCCAAAGUCCUCUAACCUGCAAAGGUUACCAACAGACUCGUCCUUACCCGACGACCCUCAUGAUGAGGACGAAGAAGAAGAACAAGUCUUCAUGGCCAACGAUCCAAAAGAUGCCAUGAUCGCAUCUUUAAAAAAACAAAUUAGUGAAAAAGAUAGAGAUAUAAUUAAUCUCUAUAAAAAGAUGGACGAUGUUAUGGGGCUGUUACUGAAUGUAUAGUCCAAUCUCGAGAAUCAGCGAAACCAACAUGCACCGCAGUUAGAUGAAGUACGUCCGACUGUAUCCCAAUCAAUGAAUACACAGCAGCCAGCUCAGACGACGCUAUCUGUCGCAAUUCAGUCGGCACCAGCAGAACCACAAGACCAUCAAAGCAGCUUUCCUAUGAUGAAGGAACAGAUCCGGGAGCUGAUUUCAUCGCAAGUCAAACAAAUGAUUGAUGAAGCAGCUCCGAAAUGAAGAAGCAGAGGGCACCCAUACCCCAUAGAAUACGAUAGUAUCCCAUUUCCUGAUGGGUAUAUCGUCCCCAAAUUCAAGACAUUUUAUGGAAUAGGCAACCCUGAUCAGCAUUUGGCACACUUCAGAGCCACAUGUGGGAAUACUGGAGGUAAUAGUGCACUCCUCUUACAUUAAUUCCCUCAGAGUCUUUCGGGAGUGGCAUUCGAGUGGUAUUACUCACUCGAAGAUGAAUCCAUCGCGACAUGGAAUGAUAUGGAGGAAGCUUUUAGAAAUAAAUUUGCCAGCGUUAGCGAUAAGAUUACAAUAGCCGACCUGGUCGCCACAAGAAGAAGGAAGGACGAAUCGAUGCUAGAAUACAUCAUACGGUGGCGAAAUCUGAGCAUCAGAUGUGAACAACCUAUUGAACAGACUCAAGCAGUGGGGUUGCUUAUGGGUAAUGUUGAUAAUUGGAUGGCUCCAUUCCUAUGUACCACGAAUUGUACUACAUUUCAGGAUUUAAUAUUAAAUGUUUUGAGGUUAGAAAGAACAGAUCCACACGCCCUCAUUAAUCUCCAAAAACCCAAACGAGAAGAAGGAAAGAAAGUUGAAGUAAAGGUCGAACACUCUAAGGCGACACGUACUGCACGUACUAAUAUAAUGGAGAAAGGAAAGAAAGUUAUGACUACUACAACAGAACGAGCAUCUCCGAAGCCUAUAUUGGGUGGAAAUAACUUUAAAGGACCAACUUUUGAAGAAAGCAAGAAUAAAAUUUAUCCCUUUAAAAGGGACAAAGUGAAAAAAAUCUUUAGGGAUGCGCUAAAAAGCGGUCUUCAACUGCCGGAGCCAAAAAGACUAGAAGAUGUCGAGAAGGUUAAUGAUCCAAACUACUGUGUAUAUCACCGAAUAGUUGGCCACCAAUUUUGUGAACAUAAAAGACGAAAAUAAUGAAGAAGAUGACACGCCUCCUCCUGAAUUCUGGAACAUCUUUUUAUCGAAAAAGACUCAUAAAAUGUUGAAAUAUUUGAAUAUAGUUCCUGAUAUUACAUGGAGAAGUCCACUACAUCCGGAAGUUCAGACUUCUUCAUCUGAGAUAGCACCUAAUCAUCCUUCAGAAAAGCGAAAAGCAAGCUUAAAGAAGAGGGUACGAAAGCCAGCUCAGCCUGAAAAGCGGGAUGAAACAUCACCGGUAACAAUACGAGGCUUCAUAGUAAAAGCACAAGAAGAUGUAGAGAGUAAAAAGAAGUCUCAGGAAACUAAGACGGACGAACUCUUUUGGCCUGAAACAUGUAAUGUCAUCUCAGUUAGAAGUGAUGAGAAUGAUUUCCCAAAUCGGCAAAGAGGGAAUGACAGCAAACAUCAAUUAGCACAAAUGCAAGAGAUCAUGAUCUCGACUUUUGAUAAAAUCAAUAAAAAAUUAUUGGAUCUGAAGAUACAACAGAAUAUGAUGUUCUCCAUGAUGAUUGGAAUUGAAGCAAGGAUAGAGCAGGUAAUAAGAAUGACACCUGCCCCUCAACAACGAAAUAAACAAAGAAGUGAGCCGGUAGAAGCAUUCGAGUCCCAGAUUGAUGGUGAGAAAGCUUUGACUCGAGGAACAUCAAAAGACGAAUCAUGUAUCAAGGAAACUUGUCGUGUUAUCACAAUAUCAGAUGGUACAUCCGAAAAUUUCAUGAUAAAAAGAAGGCAAGAUAAACGACCAAUUGCGGUGAACACAAACGAGGAUGACAUAUGGGAUCUAUAUGAAACUUCGAGUCCUUCCAAUGAAAUGAAAAGAUUGGACGGGAUAGAACCACGCCUACUUGGAGUCGAGUGUGAAUUAAAGAUCCUUCGCUUAGAAGUGCGAUCUUUGAAGAGGAACCUAGACUGUGUGGCUACUGGUGUAAAAAGUCUUAGCACCCAAAUGAAAGACAUAAUGAGUAUGUUGCAAUCACAGAGCUCCAAGAGGCCUCGGGUCGAGACUUGUUUAAUGAUCAAUGGUGAUAUUCAUGAGGAACCUGAAGGUUCCCUUCAGAUCAAGUUGAAGUCUGGAAAAGUGCUACAUGAGAGGCAGGCUCCCCCACAAAAAGAUAAAGAUAAGGAAAUACAAAUAAAUGAAGAGGCUCCAACGUCCUCAAACCAACUAAAAAUGACAAAGAGCGAGUAUAAUAUCCUUGCACAUUUAAGAAAAGUACCGGCCUUGUUGAGUGUGUAUGAAGCACUCAUGAUGUCUAAAGAGCUUCGGGAUGUGCUAAUUUAUGCUUUACAAAAUCCGGAGCCCUUUCAAGCAUUUUUCGCGGAGGCGAAUAUGAAGGAAGCACUGUAUCUUAUCCAUACGGCUAAUACCACCUUUACAGACAAGGAUUUAUUGCUCGGAACAACUCAUCAUAAUAGGCCAUUGUACGUAACAGGAACUUGCGAUGGGGACAAGAUUAACCGCAUCUUGAUUGACCCAAGAUUCUCAGUUAACAUUCUAACUUUGAGGACCCUAAGAAGUUUAGCGAUGGACAUAAGCCAUUUAUCAUUUGAAAAAAUUCUAAUCCAGGGGUUUAAUCAGCAUAGUCAAAAGGCAUUGGGAUCAAUCACACUCCCUAUUAAGUUUGGAAAGCUACGCACUAAAGUUAACUUCUAUGUUAUAAAUGCAGACACUUCAUAUAAAUCUUUACUAGGAAGACCGUGGCUACAUGAAAAUCACAUCAUUCCUUCUACUCUCCAUCAAUGUAUGAAGUAUAUCAAAGAUGGACAGGAGCAUAGAAUCGAUGGUGACAUACGCCCAUUUGGAGUUCACGAAGUGCGAUAUUGNGUCACUGACAUCUAUUGUAGCUUUGGGCCUUGUGGUGCAUUCACUGAAGUCAGUAAUUGCCCACUGGGAACUAUUCUUAAUAGUUCUCACGCCCCUGUUUCUAUGUUUCAUUUUCAGAGCCUUCGGCACCGGCGGAGGCACGGGAUCGCGGCAAGGGUGUCGCGUAGCUAGCUCGCGGAGAGUUCUUUUGCCUAGGUGGUUUACUCCUCCAUUUUAUAUUUUGAGAGAGUGUGAGGUUUUGUACUCUGUAUAGAGAGACCACCUUGUACUCCUUUUAGCACUUGUUAUAGGAUCCCCAUUGUACUUACUUUAUAUUUUAUUUAGUGGAUUUACAGUUUUAACUUUAUCCCUUGUUGUAGCAUUUAGACUUUUAUUAUGCUCUGAUACUACUAGAUGUCUUGUAUUAUUACUUUUAUUAUUAUUGUUUUUAGACGCCUUAUAUGGCCGGUCUGGGCAUGCGCCGGGCGGGCUUUCGCUGGGUCCCGGGGCGUGACAUCCGAGGAGGCACUGCAACAUGUUAGUUCAACAAUAUACAACAGAUAUAUAUAUUUAUUUGAAAUACAUGCCAUGCCUCACGAUAUGCGAUAUGAAAAUCAUGCAACUCUAUGCAGUAACUAGUAGAUCAAUUGAUUCUACACUUUACCCGGCUACUCUUAGCUCAUAUCUUUACUCUAAGGUUUCUAUUACCUUAGGAUCUCAACUCAGUCCACUGGCUUCUAAGGUCUCCAUUACCUCAGCUCAAGCCUCUAUCUCUAGCUCAUAAGGGUUCCUCUACCCUAUCGAAGCUAACCACCCGACUCGGCUUCGAGUCAAUCAUCUGCGGAGAGUCCGCGCACUGGCUGCUCAUCAGCCUACCGCCGCCCUCUCUCUGUCUCAACCCCCUAGAGGCGAAGUUGUCGCACACGCUAAGCACGGCUCAAGUCGCAUGACUUGACCAUCUGGCGGCGAUCACGUUGCUCUUACCCAGCGUGAGCUUGAGACUUGACACACCGUCUGGCGGCGAACGGAUCGCACCUCACCCAACAACGGUACAUGUCAGACUCAGCCACCUGGAGGCACCCGCAUCGUACUUACCCAGCAUGGAUUCAGUCUACUCUGGUGGUCUGAUCCUCAAAUGGCUUAACCAUCCGGCGACGAAAUCGUCGCACAAAUGCCACGACAAUGGUUUAAGCCCCGGGCGGUGAUCUCCAUGUGAUCGCCCCCAAUCCUCCCUUGGUAUCAACCUCGGCGGCGAAGUCGUCGAACACGCCCUAGCCUUGAUACCAGGGUCAUCACAAGUCCUGGGAUUCCGGAAUCCACCUUCCACAGGUCGAGGGUCCAUACCCAACCCUAUACUGUCGACCUAGCUCAUCCUAGUGGCUAUACCACUAUACCCAACAACCUAGGUUUCAACACUCUAGGUUCUAUAUCCAUGUCACUUAACCUAGUUACGAUUGCUAGGUUCUUGUCCUCUUUGCCUAGAUGUCCAUUUCUAGGUUUACUAGUUCGACCUAGGUUUACUAACACUAGGUUCGAUGCCACACCUAGACUUGUUCGACUCUAGGUUCAUUUGUUUAACCUAUUUUCUCUAACACUAGGUUAGGUGCCACUCGAUCUAGUUGACAUCCUAGUUGUCCAGUCGAGUCUCAUUACCCAUCAACUCUACAUUUUUAGAGUUAUCAUCUAGUUUACAUGCAUAUAUAUAUAUAUAUAUAGCAUUAUUCAUAUGCAUCUACUUAGCAUCUUCAUCUAUGCACUAUUAUUAACAUGCAUUCUUUAAUUUUGCUAACAUUAUUUACAUGUCGUGCUCAUCGUGCUUGCUACUUGGCAUUUUACUCUAAGCAUUAUCAUUCAUCAUGCAUUACUUGUUCUUGUCUACAUGCACAUGCAUCAACAUGAGAUUACAUUGCUUAGACAUAGAGGGCGACCUAGUCGCUUCGGUAAGCACAACCCACCUUAGUUAGCUUUCUAAUUGCUUGUCGACACUUGCAAUCGGCCUCCCGCGACACUCGGCACCCGUUUGGGCCCGAUUCACAGUUGCUCCCCAAGAGCGCGCCGCUUUGCCGUUUCAAGUGCUAACGGUCUUCGCCUCGCCGUAACGGUGCUUGGGACCCGAUUUCACGAUUUAUGGACGUCUCCUGGGCCUUCCAGGCGGAAGCGAAGCUCCAAGCAUCCGUUUCUUCAAUAUCUUUGCAACGUCUUGUCGGAUUGCCGAACCGACUUCGCCAACGUGUUUCGUUACCUAUCAAUUAGGUUAAUAGAGGGUCAAAUGAGAUCAAACCCUCCCAAUUCACAAAAUCCCAUUUUGGGUGCCCUAAAUGCUAUUACUACCAAAUCCACCAAAUUGAUCCAUGAAAUAGGGAAAAACCGUCUUAAUAGCAUGCUAGGGUUCCAUUCUAACCAUUUCUAGAGAUCAAAACCCUAUCUUUAAGGAUUUACUAUGAGAGCGCUUGGAAGCUUACCUCUCCAAGAGCUCUAAUGGCAAGAAGAAGAUGAAGAGGAUGACGAUGAUGAUGAUCCUCUUCUUCUCCUCCAUCUUCUCCUUCUCUUCUUCUUCUCUUUUCCUUUCUCCCUUCUCUUCUUUUUCUUUUUCUCCGCACGAUCGGAGUGAGAGAGAGAGAGACAGUAAGGGAGAGUGUGAGGGAGUGAGACAGAGAAAGAGAAGGACACCCCUCUAAUAACCCCUCUCAUAUGGCCAUUUUGCACAUAAGCCCCUCCACUUUUCAUCUCUUACACAGCCCUCACUUGGCGUUCUGCGCGCGGAGGGACCGGUCUCCCCGACCAGGGACUGGUCCCCGAGAGCUCUCCCAGACAGCACGCGUACGGGAACCGGUCUUUCCCUGAGGGACCGGUCCCCCGGAGACCGGUCUGCCCACCAGAGACCGGUCCUCGACAGCUUGUCUCGCGGGACUUAGCCGAUUUUCGGCUAUUUCCGCUGGGAUCACCUACGGGGACCGGUCCCUUCCUGACCAGGGACCGGUCGCACCAGUGACCCCAGCCUCUGCUGAUGGGACUAGUCUCUCCAACCAGAGACCGGUCCCCGAGGGAAACUUCAGCCCAAUAAUGCAAUUUGCAUGAUUUGCCCUCGCGGACUCCAUUCCAAUGCACUUCUUGGAUCUUGUGCAUCCCAAGCUUUUCCAAAGCUCACCAACUCGACCACUAGUUGAUUCUGGAUGAGGUGCAGCUCUCGAAUUUCGAGAAUUCAUAAUGUUACACAUGGCAUCCCACUGACAUCUUUGUUGCAUCCGGGACGAGUCGUAGUCCCCGAUCAUACUUUGGAUAUUCGAGAGUUUUGCCCCAGUUGUCCUGUUCGGGUUGGAGAUUGGGUCAUGCCCGUGGACUUGCUAGCUUUGCAUAAACUCGGAGAGUUUGAUGUUGUUUUGGGCAUGAACUGGUUGACCAAGUACUACGCCACUAUCGAUUGCAAGAAUCGAGCUGUGACGUUUAGAGAGCCGGGGCAGGCGGAGGUUGUGUACCGAGGAUGCCAGAGUUCGCUGUUUGUGAUGACGAUUAGCUCCUCUCGAGCUAGACAGUUGAUCAGCAGAGGCUGCGUAGCCUAUUUGUCUACUGUUGUGUUGCGAGGCGAUGUAGACGCCCCUAGGAUUGAGGAUAUCCUCAUAGUACGGGAGUUUGGAGAUGUAUUUUCAGCAGAGCUUCUAGGCAUGCCACCUGAUAGGGAGAUUGAGUUUGUGGUAAAUCUCAUUCCCGGGACUACUCCAAUCUCAUUGGCGCCCUAUAGGAUGGCACCAGCGAAAUUGAAGGAGCUGAAGGCACAAUUGCAAGAUCUUCUAGACAAGGGCUUUGUGCGACCGAGUGUGUCACCUUGGGGAGCACCGGUCCUAUUUGUCAAGAAGAAGGAUGGAUCACUUCGCUUGUGCGUGGAUUAUCGUGAACUCAAUAAAGUCACGAUCAAGAAUAAGUGUCCAUUACCGAGGAUUGAUGAUUUAUUUGAUCUACUCCAGGGAUCUAGUGUGUAUUCCAAGAUCGACUUGCAGUCAGGAUACCACCACUUGAAGAUCAAGCCUGAGGAUGUGUCGAAAAUGACUUUUAGUACAUGCUAUUGACAUUAUGAAUUUACAGUCAUGCCGUUUGGGCUUACUAAUGCCCCGGCAGCUUUUUUGGAUCUAAUGAACCGUGUUUUCAAGCCAUAUUCUUCGUGGUGUUCAUCGACGACAUUUUGGUCUAUUCCCGAAGUGAUGCGGAUCACGAGGAACACUUGAGACUUGUACUUCAAGUGCUUCGAAGAAAGAAGCUCUAUGCCAAAUUGAAAAAGUGUGAGUUUUGGCUUAGAGAGGUGGCGUUUUUGGGCCAUUUGAUUUCAGGAUCAUGUAUAGCUGUGGAUCCUAGGAAGAUUGAAGCCAUCAAGGAUUGGCCGAGGCCGACGAGUGUCACCGAGAUUCGGAGUUUUCUUGGCUUGGCCGGCUACUACCGACGGAUCGUUGAGGGAUUUGCGAGGUUAUCCACUCCCCUCACGAGGCUCACGCAUAAGGGCACCAAGUUUGUUUGGAAUGAUGGGUGUGAAAAGAGCUUCCAAGAGUUGAAGCAGAGAUUGACGACCACCCCGAUCCUAACCUUGCCAACUGCUGGAGCAGGGUAUGUGAUUUAUAGUGAUGCUUCCUUUAAUAGAUUAGGCUGUGUCUUGAUGCAGGACGGAAAAGUGAUCGCGUAUGCAUCUCGCCAGUUGAAGGAUUAUGAAAGAAACUACCCUACUUAUGAUUUGGAGUUGGCGGCCGUGGUCUUUGCAUUGAAGCUAUGGCGCCAUUACUUGUACGGCGAGCGAUGCGAAGUAUAUACGGAUCACAAGAGUUUGAAGUAUUUAUUCACUCAUAAGGAGUUGAACUUGAGGCAGCGCAGAUGGUUGGAGCUACUCAAGGAUUAUGACUUGACUAUUCUUUACCGCCCGGGCAAGGCUAAUGUGGUGGCAGAUGCGCUAAGUAGGAAAUCGACGGAAAACUUAGCGAUGCUUGUGGUUACUCAACCGCUGUUGAUUGAGCAGAUGAAGCGGUUGGAGUUGGAGGUGGUGGCUCCUGAUACACCUUUAAGACUGAUGACUUUGGUAGUGCAAACUAUACUGGUGGAAAGGAUUAAAGAAAAGCAAGUCUCCGAUGUGGAGUUGCAAAGGAUUCGAGCUAAGAUGAUUAAUGGUUGCACCGGUAACUUUUCUGUAGGCGAUGAUGGAUUGAUGUGUUUCCGUCGACGGAUCUGUGUACCGGCGGAAUCGGCACUUAGAGAAGAAAUUCUUGAAGAGGCACACCGAGCACCGUAUGCUAUACAUCUGGGAGGCACCAAGAUGUAUAAGAGCUUAAAGUUGCUUUAUUGGUGGCCCGGAAUUAAAAAGGACGUUGGUGAGUUUGUUGCUAGAUGUUUAACUUGCCAACAGGUUAAAGCUGAGCACCGAUUCCCGCAGGAAAAUUACAGAGCUUACCGAUUCGAGUAUGGAAAUGGGAGAAGAUCACCAUGGACUUCGUGACAGGAUUGCCCCGCUCACAGGCCGUGCAUGAUGCUAUUUGGGUGAUUGUGGAUAGGUUGACGAAAUUAGCACAUUUUGUACCUAUCCAUACUACUUGGACUGGUGAGAGACUCACACAGGUUUACCUAGAUGAGAUUGUGCGAUUGCACGGGGUGCCUACUUCUAUAGUAUCAGAUCAUAACCCCCGAUUUGUAUCUCACUUUUGGAGGAGUUUACAGGAUGCUUUGGGUACGCGCUUAGACUUCAGUACAGCUUUCCACCCCCAGAGUGACGGGCAAUCAGAGCGCACUAUACAGACUCUCGAGGACAUGCUUCGAGCCUGUGUGAUUGACUUCCAGGGAUGAUGGUUGCAGCAUCUACCGAUGGCAGAGUUUGCUUAUAACAACAAUUAUCAAGCAAGCAUCAAGAUGGCACCUUUCGAGGCACUUUAUGGACGGAAGUGUAGAUCACCACUUCAUUGGAGUGAAGUUGGCGAGAGAUUGGCUUUAGGCCCAGAUGUGCUCCAGGAAACAGAGGACAAGGUUUGCAUUGCUCGGGAGCGUUUGUUGACAGCCCAGAGUAGGCAAAAGAGUUAUACUGACAAGCGUCGACAGGGCUUGGAGUUCCAGAUCGGUGAUCAUGUCUUCUUAAAGGUCUCGCCGACCAGAGGAAUUAGAAGAUUUGGAAUUCGGGGCAAGUUGAGCCCCCGAUACAUUGGACCGUAUGAGGUUUUGGAGCGUGUGGGCCCGGUAGUGUAUCGACUUGCUCUACCUCCGAACCUAUCGAGUGUACACAAUGUAUUUCAUGUAUCAGUCCUUCGGAAGUACAUCCAUGAUCCAGCUCAUAUGCUUGAUGCUAUACCAUUGGAGCUGAGAGAGGAUUUGAGUUUCGAGGAGCAACCCGUGAAGAUCUUGGCUCGCGAGGUGAAGAAACUACGGAAUCGAGACAUUCCGUAUGUGAAGGUUCUUUGGAGCAACCACAAGGAGCGGGAGGCCACGUGGGAGCUAGAGAAUGCGCUACAGGAGCGCUAUCCCCAUCUCUUUCAGAUAGAGACUUGAGGUACUUUGACUUUUCAAGUUUCGCGGACGAAACUCCCUUUUAGGAGGGGUGAAUGUAACACACUGGACCUAUGCAAAUUGCAAGGUCCGAGUGAUUGGAUGUGUUUCGAGCUUUUCCACACUUGGUGGAGGGUUGUAGAAUAUUUUCCGACCUAAAAAGUUCGAAAAUUUGAGUUCUCGAUGAGUCCUGAGAGUUUUCACUCUCGGGGACCGGUCCCUGGCUGGAAAAGACCGGUCGCCCCCCCGGAACAGUAUUGCGGCAGCCUUGAGGCAACCGGUCCCUGGCGGAUGAGACCGGUCCCCGAGCGCGUCUACGCGGGAAGAGACCGGUCCCAUGCGGGGAGAAACCGAUUUCCGAACGUUGGAUUUUCGGGGCAGGCCGAGAGACCGAUCCCAGGUCGGGGAGACCAGUCCCUCAGUCUGAAAGCUGCCCAGUCUGGGCUGAUGCAAUAUUGGGAAAUUGAGGGGCUUCUCUGGAUUUUGUUACAUUUGAUGGCCUAAAUGGCCAUUCCACCCUCUUUCUUCCUCAUUUCUCUUUCUCUCACUCUCCCAACACCUAGAUAGAGAAGGAGGAGAAGGAGAAGAAGGAAGAGAAGAAGAAAAUGGAGAAGAAGAGGAGGAGGAUCUAGCUAGAGGACUUGGAGCAUCUUCCUCUCCCUCUCUUCUUCCCUUUGGUGCUUGAAGGCUUGGACUUGGAGCUUGCUAAAGAGGAGAUUUUCACUCUUGGAGCUUGGAUUGGAACUUCUAAGAGGUUUGUUGCUUGUUCCUCCCCUCUAAACCUAGUUUAGGUGGAUUUUGGGAGAUGAAACCCUAGAGUGGGAAAUCUAGGGUUUAUUUAGGGCUUUUUUAUUUAGGGCUUUUUGAGCUAAUCUAAUUGGAUUAGAACCUUGGUUUAGGUAGCUUUGGGAAGGGAUUUCUACACUAUAGGUGAGAUUUUGGCCCUUUUUGCUUGGUAGGUUAAUGUUUAAGCUAGUAGUUGUUCGUUUACUUAUUGUAGCUUACUUUUUGAUGCUCCUGGUGCUAGGAGAUUAGUGGACAUCUUCGUUGGAGCAAACGAAGGGUUGCGCAAAGUUCGGUGGGUUUGACCUAGCCUACAAUAUGAGAAAUUCUCAUAUUUGGUGAUUUAUGUUUCGUAAAGUGAUAAUUCAUGCAUUUUCAUGUUAAAUGUAUUUAUUGUGAAUUUUAGAAUGCUUAAUAUCCCUACGUCAUGUAUAAUGAAUUUUCUGACCUCUAUAUAGUAGAGAGAGUUGCAUGUGAAGCUUGCACUAGCAUUGGGCAUUCUUAUGUUGGACCCGGGACCAUGUUCUUACCAUGAAAAUGAGCAUUGCUUCAUGCAUUUUAACCUAUACCUAAUUGAGACAUAUGGGACUUUAAUGAGCCUUAAGGGGCUUGGGGACUUGUACCACUUGAGAGUGUUGGGCUAAUGUCAUGAAGGGGCAUUGAGCUCGGGUUAAACGAGAACCUAGUACUAAUGCCAUGAAUGGAACAUAGAUUAUGAAAUGUGUUAACUUAUAACAAGCUUAAGUGUCAUAAAGAGGCACUAAGCAUAGUGAGUGUUGGAACAUCACUUUGAGACAUUGAACUAGAUCUUUGGGAUGCUAGUGACUUUUACCAUGUUAGAGACAUGAUGAUUGGACUUUUGAGACGAUGAUUUUGCUUGCUUGCUAUUUGUGCUCAUUCACACAUGCUUGUAAGGGUCGCUCCCUACAAGCCGGCACUCCGGAAUUGGCCUACGCGACUUAUAAUCGCUNUUAACACGAACACUUCCAAAACAUGCCAAGGGACUUUCACAAGCUACCAGUUUAAUUUGGAAGCAAUUUCUUUUCAUUUUGACAUCAUAUGGUUCAUUUCGACCAAAUCGACUACAAAAUUCAGCAUUCGAGUUACAAUGGCAAUUGGAGUUCUUUUGUCACUUCGUUUCCACUUGUAUCUAUUCCCACACUUCCAAAGUGUGCCAAUGACUGAUCUCAAGCUUCUAAUUCAGUUUAGAAGUCUCUAAUUUCUAUUUUAGCAUUAUCGUGCCCACUUUGAUCACAAUUAGCUUCUAAUCAAGUUUCAGUCUAUUACAGGGUGGGUGAUAGACUCAUUUUCAGAGUUGAAAUGCUGGAGCUACCACCGACACUUAGGUGGCACAAGCCGGACUACACUCGUGUAGAUCCCAAAACAAGAUUGAACUUGGACAUAACUUCUUAAAUUUGAAUCACUGCUAAAUAGAUCAUAGUAGUUGGAUUAUUGGACAUACUCAUAGUGUGGCUUUGAGAUAUUUGGACAUGUAGUAUACUUGAUAGAAUUACUUAUCGCAUCUUAGUAUACUUGUAGCUAUGAUGAGCGUAUUCACCCGACAUUGGCAUAUUCAAACAUGAUAGCAUUGAUAUACAUCACGUUUACUUAUGGCAUAGCAUUUCACUCAUGCUUUCAAUUCUGUAGUUUAUUAUUGUCUAUUACUACUAUUGUUGUUUACCGCACUUACCCUUUUCUUUUGGGGCCUAGUGGUGCAUUGAGCUGAGGUCAAUAAUUGCCCACUGGGAACUAUAAAUUAUAGUUCUCACGCCCUCUUUUUCGUGUUGUUUACAGAGCCUUCCACUCCGGGCGAGGCUAGGGACUGUGGAAAGGGUAUCACCUCGAGUUAGCUUGCUAUCGAGGGACGCGUUGAUAGGUGGUCUACCUCUCAUUAUUUUCUUUUUGGAGAGGUUGAGAGUUGUACCAGUGUAUUAGUGACCACCCAUUUUGUGUACUUUUUGAGAUGGUUAUUGUAUAACUUUAUGUUUCCUCUUUAUUACUUAGUUAUUCCAACUUCUCUUAUCAUAGAUUAUAGAUGUGUACUUAUUCUGAUAUCUCUAGUUGUAGAUCAUCUUUGCUCUAUUUUUCGCUGUUGUUGUAGACGCCUUAUAUGUGUAGACAUAUGGUGGGUCUAGGCACGCUACCCGGAGGGCCUCUGCCGGUCCCGGGGCGUGACAGUAAAAGUCCGUCACAAGUCUCAAGUCAUCAUGUCUAAAAUAUGAAUGUAGCAAAUAUCUCAAUGGCCCAUCAUUAUGUCAUCAUGUCUAAAACAUGGAAUAUAGUCGAUGUCCAAAUGGUCUGUCACUAUGUCUCUAUUUUGCGGUUUCAUAAUUUACUAAGCCGGGUGCCCUUUUAUGGCACUUUUGUCCACUAAGUCCAAGCAUGAGUUUAGUGUUCAGGAGUUCAUAAUUCGAGUCAUUUUCAUCAUACGAGACCUGUUUCCAACUUGCAAUAAAAAAUACUUUUCACAUGCAUGCAUAAUACACAUAUGGCUCUACUAUAUAGAGUUGAAUUUUCAUGAUACAUAACACAUGCAUUUUAAGUAUUCUAAAAUUCAUAAAAAUUCUAUCUAGUAUGAAUAUGCAUGCAUUUCGAUGAAAUGACGAGUACAAAUCACAUAGGAGACAUUUCUCCCCUAUUCCAUGAAGUCAAAUCCACCGUGACUCUCGCAACCCUUCGUUCGAGCCGACGAAGGUGCCCACUACUCUCCUAGCACCCUAAAGGUAUAGAAAAGAAAGAUACACGAACGUUACGAACAACCCAUACCUCAAACUUUAAGCAACUCAAGCAAAGGUGAAAACUCACCGAAUGCGAAGGAAACUCCCACGAUCUCCAAAUAGGAGUUAGAGUCCUUCCAAACCAACCUAAACAAAGGUUCUAAUAAGAUCAAUUGGGCUUCAAAAGCCUCUAAUCCACAAUACCCAAAAUAAACAAUAAAUCCCAAUUCUAGGGUUUCAACUAGCAACUGUCACGCCCCGGGACCGAUACCAAUUUGGCCCGACCCGAGCACGUCAAACAGACGCCGAGCGGACAGAGUUUCUCCUAUCCGCCCAAGGCUCAUCACAUGUACAUUUUCAUCAAUAGAGAAAAGCACUAGCGGAAACAUACACAAACGGCUUACACGAGGGUAAGCAAUAGCCACGAGUGAAAGAAAAAGGAAACUAAACAAUUACUUGUACUAUGAUUCAUUUUUGAUCAUAUACAUUGCAUUCAUCUUGUUCAUUUUCGAAUUCCUUGCAUUUCAUUUCAUCAUUUCUUUCUUACAUCACAUUUACCUCAAAAUACACAUUACAUUCUUUUCUUUACAUCAUUUAUCAUCAUGUACAAAAGAUGAUCAUAGGGUACUUUACUACAAAAUGAAACCCAACUUUGGUGGCCUCUGACUAAGGCACAUUGCCCGCGGGGAGGCGACCGCCCUCAGGAGCACGGAAACUUCAUAGCAAGUAUGAUACGAUGCCUUAACUCAAAGGAUUUAUAAGUUCAAUCUGAUUAACUACGGCUACUAUGUUCUUUAUGUCNNNNNNNNNNNNNNNNNNNNNNNNNNNNNNNNNNNNNNNNNNNNNNNNNNNNNNNNNNNNNNNNNNNNNNNNNNNNNNNNNNNNNNNNNNNNNNNNNNNNNNNNNNNNNNNNNNNNNNNNNNNNNNNNNNNNNNNNNNNNNNNNNNNNNNNNNNNNNNNNNNNNNNNNNNNNNNNNNNNNNNNNNNNNNNNNNNNNNNNNNNNNNNNNNNNNNNNNNNNNNNNNNNNNNNNNNNNNNNNNNNNNNNNNNNNNNNNNNNNNNNNNNNNNNNNNNNNNNNNNNNNNNNNNNNNNNNNNNNNNNNNNNNNNNNNNNNNNNNNNNNNNNNNNNNNNNNNNNNNNNNNNNNNNNNNNNNNNNNNNNNNNNNNNNNNNNNNNNNNNNNNNNNNNNNNNNNNNNNNNNNNNNNNNNNNNNNNNNNNNNNNNNNNNNNNNNNNNNNNNNNNNNNNNNNNNNNNNNNNNNNNNNNNNNNNNNNNNNNNNNNNNNNNNNNNNNNNNNNNNNNNNNNNNNNNNNNNNNNNNNNNNNNNNNNNNNNNNNNNNNNNNNNNNNNNNNNNNNNNNNNNNNNNNNNNNNNNNNNNNNNNNNNNNNNNNNNNNNNNNNNNNNNNNNNNNNNNNNNNNNNNNNNNNNNNNNNNNNNNNNNNNNNNNNNNNNNNNNNNNNNNNNNNNNNNNNNNNNNNNNNNNNNNNNNNNNNNNNNNNNNNNNNNNNNNNNNNNNNNNNNNNNNNNNNNNNNNNNNNNNNNNNNNNNNNNNNNNNNNNNNNNNNNNNNAAGGGCGAUCCUUACCUCGGUCCUCGCGCGCUCGCUUCGGUCCCGCUCUGUGGAUAGUGGUUGAGAAUACAACAAAGUUCCCCAGUGGGUUCGCCCUCAACAUCACCGACUUUCCCACUAGGCCUUAACUCAGGGCAUAAUAGAAAGAAUAAGCUGCUAUGGUAACCAAUCUAUACAAAUAUGCUAAUAGCCUGAACAUAAGCAAAAUAUGCUAAACAUUUAAAUUAAGAUGCCAGAUUAUGACCACAUCUUUGUUCUGUUCAUGUUACUCUUUGUUCUUUUGUUCUCUCUCUUUUUUCUUUAUUCUUUAUUCUUAUACUUAAUACCAAGCUAACCCCGGGGGUUUCGCACAUUACUUGCUUCACAUUUAAGUCCAUCAUCGCAGACUCACCCCUGGACCGUCCUCGGGUUUACUCAACCCGUAUGCAUAACUCCCGGAGCGCAUUGCCCGCGGGGGGAAGCGACGAGCCCUCUGAUCACGGAACUCAUAGGCAAGUAUGAAUCCGUAUCCUUAACUCCCGUCCCCCAACUCCAAAAGGAUUUUAUAGUCAAUCUUGAACUUUACACUUAGCUCUUAGGUUGUUGUUCUUUAUGUCACUUUUAAGGUCAUCAGCAUCGUUGUUCUUUACCCCUUCACUUUAUGUUGCCACUCUAGCAAUCGUUGUUCUUUACUUUUCUUUUACUUUUGCUAACUCUAGCAAUUAUAUUCUUUACAUUCUUUACUUUUGGCUACCUCUAGCACUACGUGUUCUUUACUCCCCACAUUACUUUAACUUUAAACAUUGUCAUUUUCAUCAUUCUUUACAUUACAUUGGUUCUUUACCUCACACUAUCUCUAGUGUCGUUUCACUUUAACUUUAUCAAAUGCCACUCGAUCUAUGUCAUUGUGUCACUCUGUUCUUUUGCUCACUUUGGGUGCUCACUUUUCUCUCAUGCAUACACAUAGGGUUUUUGAUAUUCACAUAGUUCUCACUCAUCAUAUUAUGCAAGAUGUACUCACAAUCAUGCAUCAUUACAUUUCCAUCAUCACUUUACCGUAAAAUGUAUGCAACAAUAUAUACAUAUAUGCUCAAAUGAAUGACGCAUUAGGCAUAGAGAGAAGUUCAAUGAGUUUGAGAAGCACCACCCACCUCGUAGGCUUUCAAAGGUGCUCCGAUGAUUUUUUUGGGAUUUUCAGACUCUUCGUUCUUUACCUGCGGCAUAACGAAGCCAAAUUAGGCUUAUUUGGCCAUAACUUUACAUUGGCUUUUCGUAACAUUAAUCCGAGCGCACCAACGCGUCGGAAAUACCCCCAAUUAGGUUUCUAGAGGGUCAAUUGCACUUAGAAAUCCCCAUGAGCAAAAGCCCCAAUUUGGGUGCCCUAGCUCCAUAGCAUCAUCAAACUUAGGAUUUGAUCUCAUUAAGAAGCAAAAGAAGCUUCAUGGUACUCUAAAAAGUCCAUUCUAACCAUUACUAAUUCAAUCAAAACCCUAGUUUGGGUUUCACCAUGAGAGGUGUUGAAGCUCACCUUCAAGCUUCACCUCUAUACCAAACCAUGGUUUUGAUCUCAAAAGAAGCAAAAAGAAAGCUUCAAAUACUCUAAAUACUCCAUUAAAACCAUUCCUAGGUUAAUCCAAACCCUAGUUUGGAAUUUAGCAUGAGAAGGGGCAAAGCUUACCUCUAAACUCGCUCAUUUUCCAAGCUAGAGAAGGAGAGGAGAGGUUUUCUUCUUCUCCUUGUCUUCUUCUUCACUUUCUUUUCCUUCUUUUCCUUCCUUUCUUUGUUUCUUCUUCUUCUCCUUUACCUUCUAGAGAGAGAGAGGGAGAGAAGAGAGUGUUUGAGAGGGUGAGAAUGAGAGAAAAUCUCAUUAGCCCUCAUAACAUAGCUAUUGGGUUGCAUAAUUGCAAAUAAACCCCUCAACUUUCACUUUAAUACACUGCCCGAACUGGGCAGUUCGCAUAGGUGGGGACCGGUCUCUCCUUCAGGGACCGGUUCCCGAAGGUCGUCCCAGCGCAGCCUGAGCUGCUGCGAGCAGUGCAACCGGUCUCUCCUUGGGGUACCGGUCUCUCGGGGACGGGUCUCUCAGGUAGGGACCGGUUCCCGAGAGCUAGUUUCUCAGGACUUAGCCGAUUUUUCGGCUGUCUCAUUUCAUACGCGUUCGGGGACCGGUCUCUCCCAUCAGGGACCGGUCCCCGAGAGCUCAAAAUCUGCAAUUUUGCAGAAUUUGAUUCUAUAGCUCUCGAAAACCUCCCGUAACUCACUUUUAAUCAUUUUAACACCUUUGGACUUUUCGAAGUGUACCAUCCUCGCACUUUGGUCAAUUUGACUAAAGUUCGACAUUUAUUUUCCGAAUUUUCGGUAUAUUACAUUCUCCACCCCUUAAAAUAAUUUCGUCCGCGAAAUUACGCAUACCUUAACUCGUCGACUCAGACAGAUGCGGAUACUCUCUCCGCAUUGAUUCCUCGAGCUCCCAAGUGGCUUCUGGCACAGCAUGGUUGCUCCAUUGCACCUUUACAUACGGAAUCUUGCGACUUCGCAACUUCUUCACUUCUCGAUCGAGGAUGCACACCGGGUACUCCUCAUAAGACAUAUCUUCACGUAGCUCUACGGGCUCGUACUCCAAUACAUGUGUCGCGUUUCGGAUAUACUUUCGAAGAUUCGACACAUGAAACACAUUGUGAACUCCCGCGAGUCUCGGUGGUAGUGCGAGCUUGUACGCCACAGCACCCACNNNNNNNNNNNNNNNNNNNNNNNNNNNNNNNNNNNNNNNNNNNNNNNNNNNNNNNNNNNNNNNNNNNNNNNNNNNNNNNNNNNNNNNNNNNNNNNNNNNNUACCAAUUCAUUUAGCAAAUGCAGGCUAAGAUUGGUAGGGCUAGCCAAUAUAGUAUCAAUGUAUUCGUAUAGAACAAUACUUAAUAUACUCUAAAGGCGGUACAUACGCAAUGAGCUUGUCCAGGAGGGUUCAGAUUGCCCAGAGGGUUAUAUUUGCCGAUGAAUGUAUAUGACUUUGCUCAAGAUCUCUUCACUGGCAUGAGAUACCAAAGUUAAUCGUCAUGAGAGGAAUAUGAUUGUCGAGAUAUUAAAGCACAUAAAGGUUUAUUUAUCUUUUGUCAACCUGGGCAGAGCGAUAGGACGCUGGUACUACACAGUGACUUAAUUACAACUGAGUUCAAGCAAGCCACAAUAUUUAGUCUUGAAAGAACUGCCCUGGUGAAGUUCAACCAUUUCUCUGAGUAUGAAAUUAUUUUCAGGAUACUUUAACUUUUUCUCUUUAUUUGGAACUUUCACAGCUAAGUGUUUCUUUAUGUCAUAUUCAUGUCAGUUCUUCCGCAAAUUCAAAGUAGAAGGGCACAUAAGAAGUAUUUAUUGGAACCAAAAUUUUAUUGAGGUGGUUUUAGAUCAAAGGUAAAUAUUAAUUUUAUUGAAAUUUUCUAAAUUUAUCCGUAAUAUAUCAAUACUAAGAAUUCGUAUUGUAACAUCAUCCUUGAUAGGUUGCACAAAUUCAAUAAGCAGGACAACAACUUGAUUAUGGAAGACUUGCUUUCUUUGUCACGUGGUCCUACCAAUAUGUGACGAUGUUAUAUGAGAUUCUAAAUAUAAUGGAUAUAGAUUCCGGGAAUAGAAGAUCAUUGACAAAGCCUUAAGGACACAAACCAGCUGGAGUGCGUUGGUAGGGUUGUAAUUGGUGAUACUGGUAGUGAAACUGAAAGAAGAGACUACUAUGGGGUCUUAACGGAGAUCAUUGAAUUACAAUAUCUUGGUGGUCGUCGAGUAGUAUUGUUCCGAUGUAAUUGGUGGGAUGUAUAUAACAAAGAAAAAGGAGUGAAAAUAGAUGAAUAUGGGCAUAUUAGUGUUAAUUGCCAAAGAUUAUUGAAAACAAAUGAACCUUUUGUAUUGGCCAAUCAAGCAUCGCAAGUAUUUUAUGCAUCUGACAAUGUUAAUAAAGGUUGGCAUAUUGUACAAAAGAUUCAACCUCGUGACAUAUAUGAGAUGCCUUUAGAGAUGGAUGAGGAUUCUAAUGAUCUACAAAAUAGGGUUGAGGCAUAUCAACAAUUUGAAUCAUUUAUUUCCAUCAAUGCUGCAUCUACAUCACAAAAUAUGGAUGAUGAAGUCAAUUGGAAUAGGAAAGAUAUGGAGCCAAUGAUUAUUGAUAUAACUUCCACAAGAAAGAAGAAGAAACAAAAAACAUAAGAAGUUGACUACUCGGCUGAUACUUUGUACAUGUACUAAAUUUUAUUUAUGAAUUUUAUUAUGU
rnacentral:lncRNA from 1 species